rnacentral:lncRNA from 1 species
AUUCCACUUAAGCAAGAGGUCACAUUGAUCUGCACUGGAGUUCACUGGUCCUGAGGUGACUCAAAGCAGGAGGGAGCAGAUGGCAGCAUCGUUAGCUGGUGGCCACAGCCUUCCCAGAUGAGUUUUGGAAUUUCCAUCAAAGUCGGGAUUAGGCUCAGGAUAUGCCGGUGGCACAGAGCACGCCGGGGGAGCGUGGAAGAAGAGGAAAUCAUUCAUAGCGACUCAUCUCGUGGUUGGGUGCUGAUCUCACAGAGGUGUCCUGCAUAUGCCAAAGGACGAACGUGUUGUUUGAGGGAAAAGCUGCUCAUAAAUCUGUGCAAACUGAAAGAUUCUGAAGACAAACCUGUCAGUAGUGAAUUGUCCCAGAAGCACAUGGAGAAAGUUGUACAUGGUGGAGGCUGUUUUUUCUGAGGCUGAAACUCAUCUCAACUCCUCAUGACCAGCUGAGCAAGAGAGAUGGGAUUUGAUGCUAUCCAAGGUGUAAUUCCACAGUUCAUGUCUUUUGCUACUGCCAGCUUAAUAAGUUUCUGCCCACUCCCAGCCAUUCAUUUCCAGCCCAGCAGCAAUGCAGUGCCAUCUCUUCCCUGACCGUGCGGAAAACCAGAUGGCUGAAAAUAACUCAGUCAAGAAAAGAAACCCUUUAUUUUAUUUUUUUCCUUUGAAUUAGAUUCAUUUGAAUGAUGCCCAUGGGCAGUCGUAUUGGUACAACUGAAGGUGACAUGAACUGCAGCAUCAGAGGCAGCAGUGAGCACUGGAGGGUGUCCCAAUGCUAAGUGAUCUUGCUGUCAACAAAAAUCUGCUCUGGGACCAUAUCCUGGAUGAAGGGGUGUUUCACUAGCCACAGGAUUAUUUAUUGAACUGCUGCUUUUCAUUUAUUUUAUUAAGGAAGAUUAACAUCUUCUUGUUUGGGCAGGUUUAUUUUUUUUUUUACUUGAGGAGAUAAACCAUCUCUGUGAGAAGUCAGUCAGCUUUGUGGACAGCCAUGAAUGUCAAUAAAGUCUUGGCAAACACAGUAGGCA